ensembl:lncRNA LOC102556915 uncharacterized LOC102556915
CAUGACUCUAAGGAACAGCCGGCCCUCCAGCCACGCAACAACGGAAGCUAGACACGCUUUCCCGGGGAGGCACGCCCCUACGCAGAGAUAGACACGCCCCCAAGCACAAUGGCACGCCCCCUAUAGAGCGAGACACACCCCCGAGUCAAACUGCACUUGACUGUUAGGACGCUAGGAGCUCCCAUGCCUCGAAGUUGUAGUGGGCUCCAGCAGUUAGCUACUAUCUUUUGUUAGGGCUGAGGCAACACCGGUUAGGACUUGGGCAGCUUCACCACAGAACAGACUUUCUCAAGUUGACAUAUUUUAUUCUCAUGAAGUCCACCUUUUUUCAUUCACAUGGAAAAAGAGUGAUUAUGAAGUCAUGCUGUAAACUGUAACCUUUCUCAUUUACUUGGAUAUAAGAGUGUUCAACUCACUUAGCAAAGACGGUGCUACCUGAAUUGGAGGCUGGUGUCUUCUGACUCCUUCAACUCCCUUUGAGUAAGUUCCUCGCUGUCUUAGUUCCUUCAUGAUGUUAAAACACGACACAGAACUGGGGACCGUGCAAGUAAGAGAAAAUACUUCACACCGUUCUAAGACAGUGAAGUCCAAGAUCAAGGCAUGUGCAGGUUUGUUGUCUGAUGAAGAUGUGACUUCUGUGUACUCCAGAGAAGACAUGUGCUAUGACCUCAGCAGGCAAAUGACCAGAAGCUAUGAGAUCAUUAAUCUCAUCCAUGAAGACAAACCUUGUUACUUACUCACCCCUAAAGGCCUCACCUCUUAAUACUAUCUCACUGGUGAUUAAACUUCAACUGUAUACAUUUAGGGGACAAAUUCACAACACAGCAGCCACCAAAAUUGUACUGAACGUGAAAGAUGAAUGAAAUUUUCUUAAGAUUAAUGUACUUCCUUUUAUUAAUUUAACAUUUCCUUCCUGCCCACGAGUCUCAGUGUGGACUGCUCCAAAUUCAUAGCGACAAAGAUUUUUUUUUUCAAGCCACUUCCGUCUCUCGCCUCUUUAAAUGGUUUUUCUUUAAGGAAAUUUCUUCAAAUUAGCAACUUUCAGCAUGCUUAUUCCACUAC